rnacentral:rRNA from 1 species
AUGAACGCUGGCGGCGUGCUUAACACAUGCAAGUCGAGCGAAGCGCUAAAGCGGAUUUCUUCGGAUUGAAGUUUUAGUGACUGAGCGGCGGACGGGUGAGUAACGCGUGGGUAACCUGCCUCAUACAGGGGGAUAACAGUUGGAAACGGCUGCUAAUACCGCAUAAGCGCACAGUACCGCAUGGUACGGUGUGAAAAACUCCGGUGGUAUGAGAUGGACCCGCGUCUGAUUAGGUAGUUGGUGGGGUAACGGCCUACCAAGCCGACGAUCAGUAGCCGACCUGAGAGGGUGACCGGCCACAUUGGGACUGAGACACGGCCCAAACUCCUACGGGAGGCAGCAGUGGGGAAUAUUGCACAAUGGGGGAAACCCUGAUGCAGCGACGCCGCGUGAGCGAAGAAGUAUUUCGGUAUGUAAAGCUCUAUCAGCAGGGAAGAA